AUGAGAAUAUCAUCUGGUCGGAAAGUGAAAGCUUCGUAGCGCCUGAGACUCUGUGGAGGGUGAAUGAGGGUGGGCAACAAGACCCCCUUGUAGACUGUGUACAGGUCGUCUUCCGUCAUUGCAGAAAGUACGUAGUACAAAUAAAGUUGUACAAAUAAAAAAAAACAAAUCCAGCAGUUGUCGCUUUAGCCAACUGAGAUUUUCAACACUUCUGUUGUCUUCCGUUGACGUCAGACGACACCGAGGGAACAUAACAGACCAAAAUACUCGUCAGCAGUCCGUUUGUACAGCUUUGGCCAUCCAAUCAGAUCUCGCCAUCAGUAACCUCAGCCUGUCACCAGACGACUGCAAUAGCUCCUUGGCACUGACUGACUCCAUUAACGGCAAGGAUCCUGUCUCCUGGUUGGAGCUUCUCACAGCGGGCUGCAGGAGUGUCAGGAAGCACCGCUUUGAUGAAGAUGCCUUUCACCUUCAAUGGGAGGUCCUGCAACAUGAGGUCCAACUAUGUAGUGACUGUGUGGUCAACGCGCUAACCACUGGGGCACUUUGUGGCCUUAUGAUAUUUUACAUUAUACAUUCAUUUGAGGGAAAAUCCAAAAAGAACCAUUCGUUCAUUUUCUACCACGGGGGUGCUGGAGCCUAUCCCAGCUGUCUUCGGGCGAGAGGCGGGGUACACCCUGGACUGGUGGCCAGCCAAUCACAGGGCACAUAUAGACAAACAACCAUUCACACUCACAUUCAUACCUAUGGACAAUUUGGAGUGGCCAAUUAACCUAGCAUGUUUUUGGAAUGUGGGAGGAAACCGGAGUACCCGGAGAAAACCCACGCAUGCACGGGGAGAACAUGCAAACUCCACACAGAGAUGGCCGAGGGUGGAAUUGAACCCUGGUCUCCUUGUUGUGAGGUCUGCACGCUAACCACUCCUCCGCCGUACCGCCCCUAAAAGAACCAGUUCCCAAGAGUCGGAAUUCCCAUCACUGAUAAGAAAGAGGAUUCCCUUCACUAACCCGUGUGUCAACUAGAGCGAGACCAAGACCACUUUCAUUACGCUGUAUCUCCAAACUGAAGAUCUCAUCAUUGUUGUCAUCAAAAUGGUUGUUCAUCUCUUCCGCCUCCUCUUCCUCUUCCUCUAUAAGUUCAAAAAUCCUUUUCAUACACGUGUAAUCUGGAUUCCCACGGUCAUCAUUCAGUGCAGUCAGACAUUCCAACACGAAUCCAUCUAAGGAGAGAGGAAUAGAAACAUAUAAAGUUAUUUUCCAGAGGAAAAGAAUAUAGUGACCUCCUAAGGUACCUUCAUUGUGCCCAGCCAAACAGGGACGUGUGUCACUUUCAACCUUCACUAAUGUGUCAUUGUCUUCUCUGGGAAAAUGAACAGGAUCUAUGAUGAGGGGAGUGUUGGGUGGGGUGAGGAGACACGAGGGGUCCAGUGCCGACCUCCUCCUCUCAGUGGUGUCCGUUUGUCUGGUCUGCAGAUCCCAAAGCUUCUGGGACAAAAGGAGGGCUCCACAGGAGCUGAAGUCAUGCAGAUAUUGUGUGGCGGGGGGCGGGCAUGGGGGUGAAAGAGAGGAUGAUUGGCGAUGGUGGACUGUUUUCUGAGAUGAUAGCAUUUGGACCGCUGUUGUGUCCAUUGUUUUCUUCUCCACGGGAAUGAUGACACCCUGAAAUAUAUAUAAACAUAUCCACCUGAGAUCCAGAAAAAUAUUCAUUUUCAGUCAUUUUUUCUACUAUUUUGAUGAUAGGAAUGAUAUUUAUACAUUUUUAUACAGGCAUAUUCAUAUUUGACAAUGAAAAAAAACAUUUUUGGUUAUAAUGUAACAUAUUUUUAAAUAUUUUUAAUUCAUACAGACUGACAUGAACUAAGAAGUGAACAGUACCGCGGACAGCCACAAGAGGUCACUAUUUGUUCAUGACAACUAAAGUAUAUGCUACUCCUGGACUCCUGAAAAAAAAAAUGAACCCAAGCGUUAAAUUGAUAUAGAAUGAGUGAUAUACAGUAGAAUGAGAUCGGGAGCUUGGUGAACCUGGACUUGCUGACUAACUGCAUAUGUGUUAAUUUACCCCAAUUCAGCCACCCAGGUAUGUUUUUAUGCUAUUGUCUAGCUGAAUAA